rnacentral:lncRNA from 1 species
GGGCAAAGCCGUGCCCAAAAAUAAACCCCGAAGGCCGGGGCGCCAGAUUCGUCCAGUGGAAAAAGGCCACAAAAACGGGUGGGCUAUAGCCUUGUGGGGUGGGGCUGGCCCACUUCGUCCGCCGGACUCGGAAUGCCACGAGACUUUGCUAGGGGCCUCCGUGUGCCAAAAAUAGCCCGCAGGUAAAGCCGCGCCAAAAAAUAACCGCCCGAAGGCCGGGGCGCCAGGUUUGUCCAGCGGAAAAAGGCAACAAAAACGGGUGGGCCAUUGCCUUGGGGGGUGGGGCUGGCCAACUUCGUCCGCCGGACUCGGAAUGGCGCGAGACUUUCCGAGGGGCCUCUGUGUGCCAAAAAUAGGCCGCGGGCAAAGCCGCGUCAAAAAAUAACCGACCGAAGGCCGGGGCGCCAAGUUUGACCAGCGGAAAAAGGCCACAAAAACAGGUGGGCUAUAGCCUUGGGGGGUGGGGCUGGCCAACUUCGUCCGCCGGACUCGGAAUGGCGCGUGACUUUGCCAGGGGCCUCCGUGUGCCAAAAAUAGGCCCCCGGGUAAGCCGCGCCCAAAAAUAACCGCCCGAAGGCCGGGGCGCCAAGUUCGUCCAGCGGAAAAAGCCCACAAAAACGGGUGGGCUAUUGCCUUGGGGGGUGGGGCUGGCCAACGUCGUCCGCCGGACUCGGAAUGGCACGAGACUUUCUGAGGGGCCUCCGUGUGCCAAAAAUAGGCCACGGGCAAAGCUGCGCCCAAAAAUAACUAAAACCGAAGGCCGGGGCGCCAAGUUUGUCCAGCGGAAAAAGGCCACAAAAACGGGUGGGCUAUAGCCUUGGGCGGUGGGGCUGGCCCACUUCGUCCGCCGGACUCGGAAUGCCGUGAGACUUUGCAAGCGGCCUCCGUGUGCCAAGAAUAGACCGCGGGCACAGUCACGCCCAAAAAUAACCGCCCGAAGGAUGGGGCGCCAAGUUCGUCCAGUAGAAAAAGGGCACAAAAACGGGUGGGCUAUAGCCUUGGGGGGUGGGGCUGGCCAACUUCGUCCGCCGGACUCGGAAUGGUGCGAGACUUCGCGAGCGGCCUCCGUGUGCCAAAAAUAGGCCGCGGGCACAGCCGUACCCAAAAAUAACCGCCCGAAGGCCGGGGCGCCAUGUUCGUCCAGCGGAAAAAGGCCACAAAAACGGGUGGGCUAU